rnacentral:rRNA from 1 species
ACAUGCUUAAACGCCCGACUUUAUGGAAGGGUGGUAUUUAUUAGACUGAAGCCAAUAUUCCUUGUGUCUAUUGCGGUGAUUCAUAAUAACUGAUCGAAUCUCUUUUUGAGAUAAAUCAUUCAAGUUUCUGCCCUAUCAGCUUUCGAUGGUAGUGUAUUGGAUACCAUGGCAGUAACGGGUAACGAAGAAUUAGGGUUCGAUUUCGGAGAGGGAGCAUGAGAAACGGCUACCACAUCUAAGGAAGGCAGCAGGCGCGUAAAUUACCCAAUCCUGACUCAGGGAGGUAGUGACAAGAAAUAGCAAACCGGGAACCUCAUGGUUUCACGGUAUUGCAAUGAGAACAAUUUAAAACCCUUAGCGAGAAUCAAGUGGAGGACAAGUCUGGUGCCAGCACCCGCGGUAAUUCCAGCUCCACUAGCGUAUAUUAAAGUUGUUGCAGUUAAAAAGCUCGUAGUUGAACCUCUGUCUGGGGCUAGUUUUGGCUUUGGUCAGGCUAGUUCUAGGCAUCCGCCUACAAGACUUAGAGGGCAUUCAGUUGUUCACUAGGAGGAGUAGGCAUUUUACUUUGAAAAAAUUAGAGUGUUUAAGGCAGGCAAUCGCCCGCAUAUAUUAGCAUGGAAUAAUAGAAUAGGACACUUUUCCAUUUCGUUGGUUAUUGGAAUCGUGUAAUGAUUAAUAGGGACAGUUGUGGGCAUUUGUAUUUAAUUGUCAGAGGUGAAAUUCUUGGAUUUAUUAAAGACAAACUAACGCGAAAGCAUUUGCCAAGGAUGUUUUCAUUAAUCAAGAACGAAAGUUAGGGGAUCAAAGACGAUCAGAUACCGUCCUAGUCUUAACUAUAAACUAUUCCGACUCAAUGUUUGACUGGCUUAUAUAACCAGUUGAGCGUUGUAUGAGAAAUCAAAGUCUUUAGGUUCUGGGGGGAGUAUGGUUGCAAAGCUGAAACUUAAAGGAAUUGACGGAAGAGCACAACCAGGAGUGGAUUCUGCGGCUUAAUUUGACUCAACACGGGGAAACUUACCAGGUUAAAACAAUAGUGGGAUUGACAGUUUGAGAGCGCUUUCUUGAUUGGUUGGGUGGUGGUGCAUGGCCGUUCUUAGUUGGUGGAGUGAUUUGUCUGCUUAAUUGCGUUAACGAACGAGACCUUAACCUGCUUACUAGACUGGCGAUCAUCAAUCGUUAGCUCUUCUUAGAGGGACUUUGGUUGUUUUAACUCCAAGGAAGUUUGAGGCAAUAACAGGUCUGUGAUGCCCUUAGAUAUCCUGGGCCGCACGCGUCAUACAAUGACUA